GACGAACGCUGGCGGCGUGCUUAACACAUGCAAGUCGAACGCUGAAGCUCAGCUUUUGUUGGGUGGAUGAGUGGCGAACGGGUGAGUAACACGUGAGUAACCUGCCCCCUUCUUUGGGAUAACGCCCGGAAACGGGUGCUAAUACUGGAUAUUCACUGGUCUUCGCAUGGGGGUUGGUGGAAAGGGCUUUUCUGGUGGGGGAUGGGCUCGCGGCCUAUCAGCUUGUUGGGGGGGUGAUGGCCUACCAAGGCGUUGACGGGUGGGCGGCCGGAGAGGGUGCCCGGUAACAUUGGGGGCGAGAUUGGGCCCAGACUACUACGGGGGGCAGUAGGGGAGAAUAUUGCACAAUAGGCGCCAGCAUGGGGCGGCGCCGGAGGGUGAGGGAUGGCGGCCUUGGGGUUGUGAUUCUGUUUGGCUCAUGGUCACGCCGCAAAAAUGGUUGUGGUGACGGUAGUGGGUAAAGAAGCGCCGGCUAACUACGUG
rnacentral:rRNA from 1 species